CCAGUUUACUGGUGCCAGGCAGAGCGUGUGCCUCUUCGUGGGGUGAAGGCAGCCGGGAAAGGAAGUGGGAUGAGGAGGGGGAGACAGCUACAACUACUCCCAGUGACAAUGUGGAGCUGCUGAGCGGCAGCAGCCAGCAGCUUGAUGCUGCUUUUCUGCUCAGAAAAGAGACCAGGCGACUGAGAAAGUGACAUUCCCUUCAUUUGGGAUUCAAGCCUGUCUCAAAAGAUCCAACACUAGUUUGAUCUUGUUUUCCUCUGCUGGUCUUAUCCCAUUGUCAGCUAGUGAGAGAGAUGGACAAGAAACUGGCUUUAUCAGGAGCAGAGUUCUUCUUUUGUUCUCCAGAAUUCCGACGGGCUUGGCUUCUAAUGGUCUUUGCUCAACCUGUGCGUGGAUAAGCAGUCCCUUAGCAGGCAGAAACUGGCAGAAAGCAUUUGCCUAUGGCUGGCAAGCUGGGCGAAGAGGAAAGUCCUGGAAAAAGACCCUUCGUGACUGACUCCUGCAAGGGGCCCUGGUCUGUAAGAUCACCAGGCGAAAGUGCUGCUGCCGUCUUUGUGAAGCCGGAGCCCUGUCAUGUCCCUGGCAGGAAGGAGGGGGCUUUGGUUCACUUGGUUGCUUCCAGAGAAGAUGCAUGCCCUGGGCUUUUCCACACCAAUUGGCCUCUUUCAACGUCCGACAAGCAGAAUGUUACAAGGUGGCCCAGGGCUUCCUGCUGCUGCCUAACCAUCAGUUUUGUUUCAAAGAAGGAACAAAAGGCUCGAUCCAUGAUAGCAGCAGGCAGGGAUUGACACGUUACCCCGGCUGGUGCGGCAUGCACUCCGUGGAGUGACAAGAAAUUUGGCUCAGUUCAGCUGCAGAUGAAUGCUGUAACUUUCCAUGGAAACUACUGGAUUGAUCUCUACCUUUGGCUACAGCUGGUGUCACGGCUUUAGAUUUCUCUUCUGUGAUGAGAGCUGCUCAGUGGACCAUUGCACUGGAGACAAAGGAGG